rnacentral:rRNA from 1 species
GAUGAACGCUAGCGGGAGGCCUAACACAUGCAAGCCGAGCGGUAUUGUUUCUUCGGAAAUGCGAGAGCGGCGUACGGGUGCGUAACACGUGUGCAACCUGCCUUUAUCUGGGGGAUAGCCUUUCGAAAGGAAGAUUAAUACUCCAUAAUAUAUUGAACGGCAUCGUUUAAUAUUGAAAGCUCCGGCGGAUAGAGAUGGGCACGCGCAAGAUUAGCUAGUUGGUGAGGUAACGGCUCACCAAGGCGAUGAUCUUUAGGGGGCCUGAGAGGGUGAUCCCCCACACUGGUACUGAGACACGGACCAGACUCCUACGGGAGGCAGCAGUGAGGAAUAUUGGUCAAUGGGUGCAAGCCUGAACCAGCCAUCCCGUGUGAAGGACGACUGCCCUAUGGGUUGUAAACUUCUUUUGUAUAGGGAUAAACCUACCCUCGAGAGGGUAGCUGAAGGUACUAUACGAAUAAGCACCGGCUAACUCCGUG